GGCGGACGGACGGACGGACGGACGAGCUUCCACCGACAGCCGCGGCCAAAGCAGCUGACUUGGAACGACCUGGCUGGAAAUCACAAGGAUAAUAACGCAUUCGCACGAAGCGGUGACAAAAAUAGAAUCCCCCAGUUUGGCUGUAAUAAAACGAAAUCUGUUUAUAGAGGAGGCUUUGCAUAAUUGUGCUCUCCGUUACCAGCUGGGAACAAACCCGGAGCCCCUGGGGAUGGGCUGGAGCUGACUCGCUCAGCUUUCUCACUUUCAGUUUGUCCCAAUUAGAAGCACGUAUAUGGGGAUUAUCCCUGAUUUUCACCCGGGCCCUUCAGGGUCUAAUUUCUACCAGGAAUAGUAGCUCUGGGCAGGCUACACAUUCUGACCUCUUAAAGCUUGCUUUUAUUUUUCUUUUUUUUUUUUUCCCUGCGUAACUCUGGGUGGAGGUGUUCAGGAAUCUCCUCCUGACACUUUUCUUUCCAAAUCAAACACACUCGGGACUUGCAAACCUUGACAGGGUUGAUAAAUGCCAGACCAUUUUGCUGCAUCAUAAGCCAGCAGACUUGGGGGCAGAGGAGGAUCCCACAGGACUGGAAAAUUUCACCUUUUGCUCAAGCCAAAGGUUCCCUUUCGCGUGCCUCCCAUGAAGACAGAUGUUGUUAUGGCUUCCACUGCUCUAUCACGGGUUAGACAUGGGCUUCCCGGGCGCAUAAUUAAACAAGUUGGGAAAGUUUGUAACUUGGGUUCCCGUUUCAGAGCGACAGCAGUGGGAUGAGUCAGGCAAUGCAGCUGGAGGAUAACGAAGGUGUACUCUCUGCUCUCCGGUUGCUUAUAAUUGCUACCUGAACUCCCUUUGCAGUCAGCAGACCCUCUAUUAUCUCCCCGGGAUGCUCCAAUCCACUCAGACCUCUCUCCAGCCGGCUCCAAUUCUCUUUCUCCCAGCUCCCAAAGGCACAUUAUUUAUAGAGCUCAAACUCCUCCAGAGAUCAAUGGGAGUCUGUAAACUCAAAAAUAGGUUGCUUACGGUACAUUAAUAAUCCUCACAGUUAUGUUCCCUGGUUAUUCUUUCAGCUGCUGCAGCUUAUCUACCAGAGCUUCCCUCGCCACUCCAAUCAACCUUAUUAUACCGAGCAACACUCUGCCAUUUUAAAGAAAACAGAAAAGCAUGUACUUGACAGCAAAUGCUUAAUGUUGUCCUGAUUAAGGGUGGACAUAUGCACAUGCUUAGGAGCUUUUCUGAAUCAUGGAAUUAGAGGGAUUUUCAGCCCUCAAGACUUUCUCCGUUCCCUGUCUGAGAAUCUGCAGGGCUGUGAUUGCAAGCGGUGUGACACCGGUGUUAGCUUCUGGGACAAAACAGACUAGGUCCCCAUAUUUAACCACAGGAAAAAGCAAUGGCUAUUUUUAUGUGAGAAAUGAGUUAUGUGCUAUUC